rnacentral:rRNA from 1 species
UACGGAGGGUGCAAGCGUUAUCCGGAUUCACUGGGUUUAAAGGGUGCGUAGGUGGGCUUGUAAGUCAGUGGUGAAAGCCCGGAGCUCAACUUCGGAACUGCCAUUGAUACUGCAGGUCUUGAGUACACUUGAGGUGGGCGGAAUACAUCAUGUAGUGGUGAAAUACUUAGAUAUGAUGUAGAACACCGAUUGCGAAGGCAGCUCACUAAAUUGUAACUGACACUGAGGCACGAAAGCGUGGGGAUCAAACAGG